AGCGUAAAAAGGCUCCGGCGUCUCAGCGUCCCGAGCUUUCGGUUCCGGCUUACCGCCGUCCUACACUCAAAUGCCUUCCGCGGCGCAGACCGGGAUGAGAAGAUUCUUCAGUUCGCCAGUCAGUUGUAGCCUGCCGGGUGUAGAAUGCUAUGCUCUGAGGAAGAUGAAAAGAAGUUUAAAAUUCGACACGCCCCCCCCCCCCCCGCCACCGUGGAGCUUACAUUAAUAUUAUCAAUAGCUAACAUUUAUUAAGCACUAUGUCAGGAACUGUUCUUACAUUUAACAUUUAGAGUUCACGAGAACCUUAUGAGCCAUGACAUCGUUUGUACGGUGCGGGCCAUCGUCUGUACAGAUGAAGAAUGCAAGCUCCAAAGACUAUGUCAUAAGCCAGUGACAGAGCUGGAAGGAGAAGGUCAGAGCCCUUGAUCACCUGCUCCAAAACCCAUCAUUCUGCACAGCAGGCUGAAAGCUGAAGGACGUAUUUGCAUCUACCAGCGGAGGAAAUUUGAGUGUUUGUUCUCUUGUGUCCUGCUGUGAAAUUGCCAAAGGAUUGACACGUUUCCUGCUUACAGUUUGCUCCCUGAGAGGCGGUAGUUUGCC